AUGAAACACUCCUACGGGAGGCAGCAGUGGGGAAUAUUGCACAAUGGGCGCAAGCCUGAUGCAGCCAUGCCGCGUGUAUGAAGAAGGCCUUCGGGUUGUAAAUUACUUUCAGCGGGGAGGAAGGGAGUAAAGUUAAUACCUUUGCUCAUUGACGUUACCCGCAGAAGAAGCACCGGCUAACUCCGUGCCAGCAGCCGCGGUAAUACGGAGGGUGCAAGCGUUAAUCGGAAUUACUGGGCGUAAAGCGCACGCAGGCGGUUUGUUAAGUCAGAUGUGAAAUCCCCGGGCUCAACCUGGGAACUGCAUCUGAUACUGGCAAGCUUGAGUCUCGUAGAGGGGGGUAGAAUUCCAGGUGUAGCGGUGAAAUGCGUAGAGAUCUGGAGGAAUACCGGUGGCGGAGGCGGCCCCCUGGACGAAGACUGACGCUCAGGUGCGAAAGCGUGGGGAGCAAACAGGAUUAGAAACCCUGGUAGUCCGAAGUUC
rnacentral:rRNA from 1 species